rnacentral:tRNA from 1 species
AUCUGGGUAGCUCAGUUGGCUAGAGCUGUUGGUUCAUACCCAGCGUAAGUCGAGGGUUCAAGUCCCUCUCCAGAUA